rnacentral:rRNA from 1 species
CCUACGGGUGGCAGCAGUAAGGAAUAUUGGUCAAUGGGCGCAAGCCUGAACCAGCCAUGCCGCGUGCAGGAAGACGGCCUACGGGUUGAAAACUGCUUUUGUACCGGAAUAUGUACGGGAAGAAUAAGGAUCGGCUAACUCCGUGCCAGCAGCCGCGGUAAUACGGAGGAUCCAAGCGUUAUCCGGAUUUAUUGGGUUUAAAGGGUGCGUAGGCGGCCUAUUAAGUCAGGGGUGAAAGACGGUAGCUUAACUAUCGCAGUGCCUUUGAUACUGAUGGGCUUGAAUGUACUUGAGGUAGGCGGAAUGUGACAAGUAGCGGUGAAAUGCAUAGAUAUGUCACAGAACACCAAUUGCGAAGGCAGCUUACUAAGUUGAUUGACGCUGAGGCACGAAAGCGUGGGGAUCAAACAGGAUUAGAUACCCUAGUAGUC